UACGAAGGGUGCAAACGUUGCUCGGAAUCAUUGGGCGUAAAGCGCACGUAGGCGGCUUUGCAAGUCGGAUGUGAAAUCCCUCGGCUCAACCAAGGAAGUGCAUCCGAAACUGCAGAGCUUGAGUACUUAAGAGGAUCGCGGAAUUCCCGGUGUAGAGGUGAAAUUCGUAGAUAUCGGGAGGAACACCAGUGGCGAAGGCGGCGAUCUGGGAAGAUACUGACGCUGAGGUGCGAAAGCGUGGGGAGCAAACAGGG
rnacentral:rRNA from 1 species